GGCAUACUCCCUCCGUCCCAAAAUUCUUGUCUUAGAUUCGUCUAGAUACGGAUGUAUCUAAUACUAAAACGUGACUUGAUACAUCUGUAUUUAGACAAAUCUAAGACAAGAAUUUUGGGACGGAGGGAGUAUUUC
rnacentral:pre_miRNA from 1 species